CAGGAGGGAGCAGCCCUGGAGCGCGCAGGGUCAGGGCUCCUGUGACCAGGGGGUGGAAAUGUGGCCUCCUGCUCUACCUUCUGUUCGAGAAUGACGGAGGGACAAGGCGGAGGAGUGGAGGAGACCAGACAUGGAUGAUGAUGUUUUUAAUGGACUUGGAGAUGGGUUGCUCAAUUUGUGAAAAAACACGAUGAUGAAGACACUCACAAAUGCUUGUUGCAAGAAGGUGCAGGAGAGAGAAAGAUGCGCUGCACUUUUCUCAUGGAUGCCCGACCUGAUUUUCCCAGUUCACUCUCCUAAGCAGCACCUGUGCACAGACAUAGGCAGGGAUGAAGGCCCUGGCUUUUCACUGUAGAAGUCCCUUUCCUUCUGGAGUGUGACAGUCUGUAGUCCCAGGCUGGUGCAGCACCAGCAGAAUUA